rnacentral:rRNA from 1 species
CGGGUGAGUAACACGUGAGCAACCUGCCCCUGACUCUGGGAUAAGCGCUGGAAACGGCGUCUAAUACUGGAUACGAACCACGACCGCAUGGUCAGUGGUUGGAAAGAAUUUCGGUUGGGGAUGGGCUCGCGGCCUAUCAGCUUGUUGGUGAGGUAAUGGCUCACCAAGGCGUCGACGGGUAGCCGGCCUGAGAGGGUGACCGGCCACACUGGGACUGAGACACGGCCCAGACUCCUACGGGAGGCAGCAGUGGGGAAUAUUGCACAAUGGGCGCAAGCCUGAUGCAGCAACGCCGCGUGAGGGAUGACGGCCUUCGGGUUGUAAACCUCUUUUAGCAGGGAAGAAGCGAAAGUGACGGUACCUGCAGAAAAAGCGCCGGCUAACUACGUGCCAGCAGCCGCGGUAAUACGUAGGGCGCAAGCGUUAUCCGGAAUUAUUGGGCGUAAAGAGCUCGUAGGCGGUUUGUCGCGUCUGCUGUGAAAUCCGGAGGCUCAACCUCCGGCCUGCAGUGGGUACGGGCAGACUAGAGUGCGGUAGGGGAGAUUGGAAUUCCUGGUGUAGCGGUGGAAUGCGCAGAUAUCAGGAGGAACACCGAUGGCGAAGGCAGAUCUCUGGGCCGUAACUGACGCUGAGGAGCGAAAGGGUGGGGAGCAAACAGGCUUAGAUACCCUGGUAGUCCACCCCGUAAACGUUGGGAACUAGUUGUGGGGUCCAUUCCACGGAUUCCGUGACGCAGCUAACGCAUUAAGUUCCCCGCCUGGGGAGUACGGCCGCAAGGCUAAAACUCAAAGGAAUUGACGGGGACCCGCACAAGCGGCGGAGCAUGCGGAUUAAUUCGAUGCAACGCGAAGAACCUUACCAAGGCUUGACAUAUACGAGAACGGGCCAGAAAUGGUCAACUCUUUGGACACUCGUAAACAGGUGGUGCAUGGUUGUCGUCAGCUCGUGUCGUGAGAUGUUGGGUUAAGUCCCGCAACGAGCGCAACCCUCGUUCUAUGUUGCCAGCACGUAAUGGUGGGAACUCAUGGGAUACUGCCGGGGUCAACUCGGAGGAAGGUGGGGGAUGACGUCAAAUCAUCAUGCCCCUUAUGUCUUGGGCUUCACGCAUGCUACAAUGGCCGGUACAAAGGGCUGCAAUACCGCGAGGUGGAGCGAAUCCCAAAAAGCCGGUCCCAGUUCGGAUUGAGGUCUGCAACUCGACCUCAUGAAGUCGGAGUCGCUAGUAAUCGCAGAUCAGCAACGCUGCGGUGAAUACGUUCCCGGGUCUUGUACACACCGCCCGUCAAGUC